GCCUCGGUGGUGUAGUGGUAGACCACGCAUUCUCGGGUAGGAAGAAAAUACGGGUUCGAUUCCCGCCCUAGGCC